ACGAUAAUAAUAUUCAAGCCAAAAAAAAAAGUAUUGAAUCUAUCAAAUCGUACAAGAAUAAUUGUAAGAUAAAAGCGAAAAAUUGACGGAGAUCUGCAGAGAGAACAACAAUGUGGAGUCCAACACAUAUUAAAGUGACAAUACGCGGGGCCAGGGGCUUACUAACAAAAGGUAAAGCUAACACCAAUAAUUGCUUUGUUACCAUCGGCCUGGGGAAAGAACGUUAUCAGACUUCAAUUAAAGACAAGGCGGAGUCAAAUGUCACUUGGAAUGAAGAAUGCGAAUUAAAAAUUCCCGAUCAAGGCAAUCGAGCCGAACUAGUGUUGACAUGUCUGCAUCAUAACAAUUUGGGCUUAGAUGAAUUUCUUGGCCAAGUUACUUUGCCUUUGAAUGAAAUGGAUGUUUACGAUCGGCCACGAGCGAAAUGGUUCAAGCUCGAAAGUAAACCGGGUAAAGAGAAGAAGAACAAAGAGCGCGGUGAGUUGGAUGUUUUGAUAUCGUUUACUGUCAAAUCGGGUUCUCUGACCGAUCUUAGUAAAAAGGAGAAACACAAGUCUUCCAUUGGCCAAUUAGCCUCGUCGGUCGGCGGUAGCCUUUUAUCUAUUGGUACUUUAGAAAAACGUAAAGGCAUCAAAAAAUUUGCAAAGUCCUUGGGUUCAAAAAUGCAUUUGAAUGGCAAGAAAAAGAAUAAAGACAGCGAUGAUAUGUCUUAUAGCGGUUCAUUUGCCAGCAUUGGUUCGCCAAAUCGUGUCAAGGUCAUAGAUAGUGAAGAUGAAGAUGAUUUCCAAUUUGAUAAUUUGUCGCAGAAGAGCUCGGUAAGCUCUUUGAAUAUGCGCGACGGCGUGGCAAAACAUUCUCCACCUAUGGGUUCAGCGGGCAAAGGCUUUACGGGAGGUAAGGACUAUCUUAGAAACGAUGGAUCUGACAAUCUCAGUGUGGAUCCUGAAUUGGAGCAAAUUGAAAACGAUUUUAGUAUAAGAACGCGCACUUUGCCGCCGCCUUCCAAACCUCCACGCAUAACACCUCACAAUGAAAUUGCCGACGCGGUGAAGCCGCCACCAGUAGAUGAAUGGGAAGCAAAAUUAUAUGGACGUCAUUUGGAUAUAGGCGGUUCGGAGUCAUUAAAGAGGCGAUCCUGGGAACCAGCUUGUGUACCAUUGCCAACGGCUAACGAAGAGCAAGAUGACGAAACUCUAAAAGAGGAGAAACAGAAGUUAGAUGAGACGAAAUUUUUAACAGCAAUAGAAAACGAAGAAUUAACUAAGAAGCAUAAUAAUGAAAGGAUUGCAGAGAUAACAGCGAAGGAACCAGAAAUUAACUCUCCUAGUAUUAGCGAAAAAGAAGAGGAGGAGGAGAUCGAACAACGGAAGCAACCACAGCAACCGGACGUAGUCUUGCAAACUGCAAAGAAGCAUAAUUUAAAGGAUGAACGACCCAAUGAGCUAAAUCUGAGCAACGAAAUUCAACCUCAAAAGCUUUCUUUGAUAUCACCCGAAAACGAAAGAGAAGAAUUUGAUAAAUUUAAUGCAACAUUCGCUAAAUUCGAACAACGUCAUAGCGCGAAAAUUUUUGAUUUAGAAGCAGAAACCAAUAACUUUUUGCAAAAUGAAACUAAAAGUUGGAACAAUGUACCCCAACCUAAACCCAGAAUGCGCACACCGAUUGGCGAAGAAAGUAAAACAGAAGUCCUCGAAUCGAAAGUUGAGUUGAUCGUUUCGCGAACGGGAGAAGAGAUAAAAGAUGAAAAAACGAUUGAAAAGGAAAAAUUAGAAGAGAAGGAAAAAGAAAAAGAAGAGGAAAUUAAAGUUGAGAAACAGCGUUUACUAGAAGAGGAGAAGCGUCGUGAGGCUAAGCGGCGUGAGGAAGAUCAGCGAAUUUUAAAUUUUGCCAAACGUUUAGUGGUGGUUGAAGAGAAAGAUGAACAAACAGCUGAAGCUAAUAGCACUGAACAGAAGAAUAAACAAAUUCCAAAAGAGACAAACGAAAGUUCAACAGUAACGAAUGAAUAUCGAAACGUACGUCUCGCUAAAUCCAGAACAUUAAACAAUAAUGAAAAUAAUCAUCAAUUUAAUAACAAUCUCAAUUAUAUAAAACGAGAAAAGCAAAAUAGUUCACCAUCGACCACUCCCAGUCCACAAACAGGGGAACGUAUCAUUAUCGGUCAUGAAAAGUCUAUUACACAAGCUGAACGGCGAGCGGAAAUAUCAGCAGCUUUAGCGAAAAAGUAUGAAGGAAAAUCGCGAGAGGAACUCAUGCUUAUCGCCAAUGGUAUGGAAAAUGAAGCUUUACUGCAGCGUCAACGUGUUAAAGAGCUGGAGGACUAUUUAGAUAAUUUGCUUUUGCGUGUUAUGGAAACUCAUCCGAAGCUAUUGCAAAAUCCAUAUUCGCGCACUACAUCGGCAAAAAGUUUCAAAAAUUACAUCAAUAUGAACGAUUUUUUGUAAGCAUGCUUUGCGGCGCACCCUUUAACUACACAUAACGCCAUCAAACGCUUGCAUGAUAUGAAAUUUGUUUCUUUGUUGCCGCUCCUGAUGUUUUUUUUUAAAGAAGAAACUUUUCCAAAGCACCAACGGUUGAUAAUGUUGUUGCUGCACCGAAGUUGAUUAUAUAUGAUACUACUAAAACAAACAAACAAACAAACAAACAAAAAGAAAAAGAAAAGUAUUGAAAAUGACAAAAACGAUAAAACCACACAAAAAAAUCACCAUAAUGCCUUCAAGUGCAAAUUCGAAAAGUGCUUUUCUAAAUGUUAUAUAUAUAUAUAUAUAUAUAUAUAUAUAUAUAAAAUCUGUUGUUAUAGUAAACUCUAACUGCAUAAAAAAAUUGCGUAAAAUAAUUUUUACUAAUUAUUAUAUAAAAAUUUAAGAAAACGUUGGUAUUUUUAUUAAAAUUUA